GAACAGAUCAGACCACCCGACUCUGGUAUCCUGCCUGAGUUACUGGAUGAGACCUCUGGUCCUUCUAUGCUUGUCUUGUAUAUAGAGGCCAAGGCUUGAUGCUUAUGGGGAAGAGGCAGUGUUUGCACCACUACUACCUGUGCUCACCUGGCCAGAAUGUUCCCGACAAAUAUCCUGGUUUGUUUUGAAGACACUCCAACUAUAGCAUAUUGGCUUGCGGCACACCAUGGCCUGCACUUUGCCCUGGACUAGCUUCCCAUAUGUGUACCUGGUUUAGAAGAGAGAACAGCAAGACUCAUUGACACAGAUAAUCUCAAAUCGACAGCCCUGAUGGGCAAACAAACGUCAGUCAAUGGCCCUGGCCGGCAGCCAUGCACUCAUCAUAUCUCAAAGGUUCUGAGUGACUCAGCUUCAUGGCUGAGCUGGACAUGCCUGAUGAAGGAUUGGAAUCACUGAACUAUGAGCAAGGGACUGGAGCUACAGAUCAGAUCAGCUCUCCUGGAAGUGCAGAACACUAACCCCUG